rnacentral:rRNA from 1 species
UGGUGAUCAUAGGUGAGGGGAAACACGCGUUCCCAUUCCGAACACAGCCGUUAAGCCCUCGACCGCCGAUGGUAGUAGGACCCCGUUGUUCUGUGAGAGUAGGUUGUCGCCA